CCUACGGGUGGCAGCAGUGGGGAAUAUUGCACAAUGGGCGCAAGCCUGAUGCAGCCAUGCCGCGUGUGUGAAGAAGGCCUUCGGGUUGUAAAGCACUUUCAGCGGGGAGGAAGGCGGUGAGGUUAAUAACCUCAUCGAUUGACGUUACCCGCAGAAGAAGCACCGGCUAACUCCGUGCCAGCAGCCGCGGUAAUACGGAGGGUGCAAGCGUUAAUCGGAAUUACUGGGCGUAAAGCGCACGCAGGCGGUCUGUCAAGUCGGAUGUGAAAUCCCCGGGCUCAACCUGGGAACUGCAUUCGAAACUGGCAGGCUAGAGUCGUGUAGAGGGGGGUAGAAUUCCAGGUGUAGCGGUGAAAUGCGUAGAGAUCUGGAGGAAUACCGGUGGCGAAGGCGGCCCCCUGGACAGAGACUGACGCUCAGGUGCGAAAGCGUGGGGAGCAAACAGGAUUAGAUACCCGGGUAGGC
rnacentral:rRNA from 1 species